AUUGAACGCUGGCGGCAUGCUUUACACAUGCAAGUCGAACGGCAGCACGGACUUCGGUCUGGUGGCGAGUGGCGAACGGGUGAGUAAUACACCGGAACGUGCCCAGUUGUGGGGGAUAACUACUCGAAAGAGUAGCUAAUACCGCAUGAGAACUGAGGUUGAAAGCAGGGGAUCGUAAGACCUUGCGCAACUGGAGCGGCCGAUGGCAGAUUAGGUAGUUGGUGGGAUAAAAGCUUACCAAGCCGACGAUCUGUAGCUGGUCUGAGAGGACGACCAGCCACACUGGGACUGAGACACGGCCCAGACUCCUACGGGAGGAAGCAGUGGGGAAUUUUGGACAAUGGGCGCAAGCCUGAUCCAGCAAUGCCGCGUGCAGGAUGAAGGCCUUCGGGUUGUAAACUGCUUUUGUACGGAACGAAAAGCACUGGGUUAAUACCCUGGGGUCAUGACGGUACCGUAAGAAUAAGCACCGGCUAACUACGUGCCAGCAGCCGCGGUAAGAC
rnacentral:rRNA from 1 species